CAAAAUCUCACCUCCCAAGAAUAUUGCUAGCAAAAAAGACUGCUAUAAUGUGACAAAUGGAGAAGAAGGGAAAUGUUCCACUGAACUUGGGUUGAAUCUUGAGCUUAGCCAACAUGGUGGCAAUCAUGAAUAUACUAGUAACUAUUCAAAGUUUAAUACUAGUGGAUAUGGAUUUACAUUCCUACAGAGGCAAGAAUUAGAGCAACAAUUUUUCAUCUACAAGUACAUUGAAGCUGGGAUACCUAUUCCCUCUCAUCUUAUUAUUCCUAUAUUCAAGUCUAUUACUUGCUCUUUAAAAGGUCUUCAUAAUGGUAUCUAUCCACAUUAUCCCAA